CCCCUUCAUAUCCCCGGGUCUAUCCCCUAUAUCUGGAGGUGCCGGUUCGCCGGCUAUGGCGAUAAACGCGCUCGUAAUAACCGGACUGGACCCGGGGGCAGUACCCGGCGGCUCCACCAUAACCGCUCUGCGUUGGCAGACAUGCUUGGGGCCGAAACAGGAUUGACAGACGGGUAAAGGGGAUGGCUUUCGCUCGGGUGAGGCCCGUUACAGGCUCGCUUAUGAAAGUUGCCAACGACAACUUUGCUGAAGAGGUCGCUCUCGCUGCGUAAUGCAGCGCGGGUAAUCUCGCCUUAAAGUCCUGAUUCCUUUAGCCGAACCAGGCGGGGUCCGGAGGCACCUGGCAACAGAAGCCUCCACU
rnacentral:tmRNA from 1 species